UCAGAAGAGGUAAAGGCAGUUAAAAGGUUGAUUGAAAAGAUAAGUUUUUAGCUGCCGUUUAAAAAUGUCAACGUGGGCGUCUCUCAUAGCCCUGGGAAAGGUAUUCCACAACUUGGGGGUGUAAUUCAAAAAGGCUGGUUCACCAAUUUUCUUAUUGCUGCGGCCUUCAACAGGCCGACAUCAGAAGACCUGAGCGCUCCAGUAGAGGCAUAGGGAAGGAGGCAGUCUGUAAAAUAUGCCGCUCCUAAGCCAUUUAGGGCUUUAUAGACAAGAAGGAGGUCUUUAUAGUCGAUCCUGGAUCUCACAGGGAGCUAAUGAAGGGAGUAUAAUACUGGGAUGAAGAUAAACCCUGACAUCGAAGUCAAGCUCAGAGUGAAAUCAUGACAGAACAUUGGAGUAGCAAGCCAUGACAUUUCAUGGCUCAUGCAAUUUCCAUUGGUCACCACAGUGUAGAGAAGAGCGCAAAAUGAGCAGCAAGCACAAUAUACCAGACUGAAGCAUUACAGCUUGGUUUGGGAACAGAUCCAUCCAAGACCACAAGAAUUUGCAGCAAAAUUGUAGAUGCAGCCCAGACCAUCACACACACCAACCUCCCUUCUAUUGACUCCAUUUAUACCUCACGCUGCCUUGGCAAGGCCUAAUCAAGCAUUAUCAAGGACAAGUCGCACCCUGGCCACUCCUUCUUCUCCCUUCCCCCAUCAAGCAAAAGGUAUAGAUGUGAAAACGCACACCACCAAGUUCGGGGACAGUUUCUGAAGGCAACUGAAUCAUCCUACCACAACCAGAGAGCAAUGCUGAACUACUCUUUGAAGACCCUCGGACUAUCCUUGAUCAGACUUUGCUAGCAUUACAUUGCACUAAACGUUAUUCCUUAUCGUGUAUCUAUACACUGUAAAUGGAUCGAUGUAUUGUCGUUCUGUUGUUACCACAUAACAAAAGCUUUUCACUGUACCUCGGUACACGUGACAAUAAACUAAAUUGAACUCAGCGCAGUGAACAAAGCUAUAACUGUGCAAGCCUGUGUGGCAAUUAUGUGAUGACAUCCUUGUGAUUCGACCAUUUCUAUACCUUCUGUAACGUCCCUAUAUUAAGAACCAUAAAAUAAAUAUAAAACAUAUUACCUCCUAAUUAGAUUUCACCAACCUUUGAUAUUUGUACUACAUUUAGCCUGAACAUUUGCCAAACCCAUAAAGACAAAUUAGUGAAAUUUUCCUUUACAAAUGCAACAUUCAUUCCUCCACCAGCCCCUCAAUACGGGUACAAUAAAGAGGUAUGUGCACAAAUUCCCAACAGCAGUUACUUGUAAAGAUUACAGCCAGCAUAAUGUUGCUGCAAGGCAUUGUGCAAAAUAAGAAUACCCACCAGCACAACCGUAUCAAAUAGCUGACAUGGAGAGAAGAGAAAACAUGGCAGAGAGGGGACAAAAUAUCUUCCAUGUGUCUGGCCACUGACUACUCCCCCAGUGAUUACAAACAUGCAUCUGUUUUCAUGUUCCAAACACCCCCCAUGCAACUGUGAGGCAGGUCGAUAAUGCAGGCAAUGAUCAGAGCAGUGCCGCACAAACACAGAAUUGAACUGCUGCAGAAGUAAUUAAUGUUCAGCAAAGCAGAUACAAGAAGGGAGUAAAACUUGGGCUCCUUGUUUGAAAUUGAGUGAAAAAAGUCAUUGCUUGCACAUUUUUAAAAAACCUAUUUUUUACAAUUAUUAAUUAAGAAAUAAGCAUUGAGUACAUACAAAUGGCCUGAUCACGUCGGAAAAGAGUCAGGAAAAUAACACCUGUGCGA